rnacentral:rRNA from 1 species
UACGUAGGGUGCAAGCGUUAUCCGGAAUUAUUGGGCGUAAAGAGCUCGUAGGCGGUUUGUCACGUCUGCUGUGAAAACUGGAGGCUCAACCUCCAGCCUGCAGUGGGUACGGGCAGACUAGAGUGCGGUAGGGGAGAUUGGAAUUCCUGGUGUAGCGGUGGAAUGCGCAGAUAUCGGGAGGAACACCAAUGGCGAAAGCAGGUAACUGGACUAUUACUGACACUCAACUGCGAAAGCUAGGGGAGCAAACAGG